AUGGCAGUCAACAUACAAUAUGGAGUGUCUUACUUGACACAAGUGACCAUUUCAAACUUGAAUAGAGAAGCGAAGAGCCAAGCCAUUAAGAUGGCUAGAGCAGAGGCUUCUAGAGCACGUGAAGACGAAGUGAAUUCGGGUAAGACGGGUACUUCCACUGUUCCUUCUAGUGUCCAUCAUAGUGCUAGUGGUCAUUAUGAUGAUGACUCUGAGGGUCAGUCAUUGGAUCUAGAAGGAAUGAGUGAUGGAUGUUGA